AUUGAACGCUGGCGGCAUGCCUAACACAUGCAAGUCGAACGGUAACGCGGGGGCAGCCCUGGCGACGAGUGGCGGACGGGUGAGUAAUGCUUAGGAAUCUGCCCAAUGGUGGGGGACAACCCGGGGAAACUCGGGCUAAUACCGCAUACGCCCUACGGGGGAAAGCGGGGGAUCGAAAGACCUCGCGCUGUUGGAUGAGCCUAAGUCCGAUUAGCUAGUUGGUAGGGUAAAAGCCUACCAAGGCAACGAUCGGUAGCUGGUCUGAGAGGACGAUCAGCCACACUGGGACUGAGACACGGCCCAGACUCCUACGGGAGGCAGCAGUGGGGAAUAUUGGACAAUGGGCGAAAGCCUGAUCCAGCGAUGCCGCGUGUGUGAAGAAGGCCUGCGGGUUGUAAAGCACUUUCAGUGGGGAAGAAAGGUCAGGGGCUAAUUCCCCCUGCUCGUGACGUUACCCACAGAAGAAGCACCGGCUAACUCCGUGCCAGCAGCCGCCGCAG
rnacentral:rRNA from 1 species